GACAAAUCGCUCUCUCUUUCUCUAAAACUAAACUUUUCUCCUCUUUCUCUAAUACAAAUCGAUUCUCGCUUCUCUCCAAUCAAAAUUGAUAGUGUUGCCAUCAUCGUUACUAUCUCUGGGUUUCUCCCAUCUCAUGCCAUAAGUUGUUAUUGUCUUGUGUUGUCAUUAUCAUCGGUGGUGGUAUUUCAGACCUUAAUCAGGAUUUUGGUUCUCAAAGAUUAAAUGACCAAGGAAAAGAAGAGCAACAACUUCUACUAUACCUAGCAGAAAUACUACAAGGGGAAUUAAUACACAAAGGAAAAUAGAAAAAAGAAGAAAAAGAAAGCAUAAGGUUGGAGAAGUCCAUAAAAUAAGAAGGGCACACAAGGUUGGAGAAGCCUACAGAAGAAGAAAAAGAAGAAGAAGUACAUAGAACAACUGUUUCUUUCACUAAUAUAGAUGUCUCGAAUGAUAAAUUCAAAAGUAAUAUAAAUGUAGAAGGUGGAGAUAAAGGAUUGAAGGAUGAACAUAGAACAAAACACCGACAUGAUACACCUAUUCAAGGGAAGGAGACAUCUCAUACUAUUGAGUCCUCUGAGGCCAGUUCUUUACGCUACACCAUACUUGAUAUGUAUGAUGAAUAAAAAUUGUCAGCUAAGACAUUGAGGAGGAGAAAACAAAUUUUGGACUUGGCGUGGAAGACUUACAAAGAGAAGAAUUUGAUUGAGCAUCUCAAUCCAAAGAUGUUGGUAAGAGUGUAAAGAAAUCAAUGUGCUUGCUUUAUUUUGUGCACAAUUUUCUUUCGGUAAAAGAUUUGAACACAAAUAUUCCAUCUAAAUGAAUUUUGCUCUCAGUCAAUAGAGAUGCAUUUUCUGCCCAUCCAUGAAGUCAUGUAAGUUAUGAUCUUACAAUGAAAUAACUAUUGAGUGCGGUUCAAUCCAAAUAUGAAGACCAGCAAUCCUUAUGAAUUUUCAUGGGCU